rnacentral:rRNA from 1 species
UACAGAGGGUGCAAGCGUUAAUCGGAAUUACUGGGCGUAAAGCGUGCGUAGACGGUAGCGUAAGUCGGGUGUGAAAGCCCCGGGCUCAACCUGGGAAUUGCAUUCGAGACUGCUCUGCUAGGGUGCGGAAGAGGGAAGCGGAAUUUCCGGUGUAGCGGUGAAAUGCGUAGAUAUCAGGAGGAACACCGGUGGCGAAGGCGGUUCUCUGGGCCUUACCUGACGCUGAGGAGCGAAAGCGUGGGGAGCGAACAGG